AGAAUCAACGCUGGCGGCGUGCCUAACACAUGCAAGUCGAACGAGAAAGUGGAGCAAUCCAUGAGUAAAGUGGCGACCGGGUGAGUAACACGUGACUAACCUACCUUCGAGUGGGGGAUAACCUCGGGAAACCGGGGCUAAUACCGCAUAAAAUCUUUGGAUCGGAAGAACUGGAGAUCAAUGGAGCAAUUCGCUUGAAGAGGGGGUCGCGGCUGAUUAGCUAGUUGGCGGGGUAAUGGCCCACCAAGGCUUUGAUCGGUAGCCGGCCUGAGAGGGCGCACGGCCACACUGGAACUGAAACACGGUCCAGACUCCUACGGGAGGCAGCAGUGGGGGAAUUUUGCGCAAUGGGGGAAACCCUGACGCAGCAACGCCGCGUGGAGGAUGAAGUCCCUUGGGACGUAAACUCCUUUCGACCGGGACGAUUAUGACGGUACCGGUGGAAGAAGCCCCGGCUAACUUCGCGCCAGCAGCCGC
rnacentral:rRNA from 1 species